CCUACGGGAGGCAGCAGUAAGGAAUAUUGGGCAAUGGACGCAAGUCUGACCCAGCCAUGCCGCGUGAAGGAAGACGGCCCUAUGGGUUGUAAACUUCUUUUCUCAGGGGGUAAACUUCGGAACGAGUUCCGGACUGAAAGUACCUGAGGAAUAAGCAUCGGCUAACUCCGUGCCAGCAGCCGCGGUAAUACGGAGGAUGCGAGCGUUAUCCGGAUUCAUUGGGUUUAAAGGGUGCGCAGGCGGAUAUAUAAGUCGGAGGUGAAAUUCUGAUGCUCAACAUCAGCCGUGCCUUCGAUACUGUAUAUCUAGAGUCAAGUUGGAGUAGGCGGAAUGUGUUGUGUAGCGGUGAAAUGCUUAGAUAUAACACAGAACACCGAUCGCGAAGGCAGCUUACUAAACUUUGACUGACGCUCGUGCACGAAAGCGUGGGGAUCAAACAGGAUUAGAUACCCUGGUAGUCCACGCUGUAAACGAUGAUUACUCGCUGUUGGCGAUACACAGUCAGUGGCUAAGCGAAAGUGAUAAGUAAUCCACCUGGGGAGUACGACGGCAACGUUGAAACUCAAAGGAAUUGACGG
rnacentral:rRNA from 1 species